UCGAGGAUCUUCGGCAAUGGGCGAAAGCCUGACCGAGCGACGCCGCGUGUGGGAUGAAGGCCUUCGGGUUGUAAACCACUGUCUAGAGGAGGACCUAUUCUAGGAGGAAGUCAGGGCUAAGUUCGUGCCAGCAGCCGCGGUAAGACGAACCUGACAAACGUUAUUCGGAAUUACUGGGCUUAAAGGGUGCGUAGGCGGCGUGGCAAGUUGGGUGUGAAAUCCCUCGGCUCAACCGAGGAACUGCGCUCAAUACUGCCAUGCUCGAGGGAGACAGAGGUGAGCGGAACUUAGGGUGGAGCGGUGAAAUGCGUUGAUAUCCUAAGGAACACCGGUAGCGAAAGCGGCUCACUGGGUCUUUCUGACGCUGAGGCACGAAAGCUAGGGUAGCGAACGGGAUUAGAUACCCCGGUAGU
rnacentral:rRNA from 1 species